rnacentral:tRNA from 1 species
GGGAGUGUGGCUCACAUGGUAGAGCACCUGCCUAGCAAGCACAAGGCCCUGAGUUCAAACCCCAGUACCA